rnacentral:rRNA from 1 species
AUUGAACGCUGGCGGCAGGCUUAACACAUGCAAGUCGAGCGGAGAUGAGGUGCUUGCACCUUAUCUUAGCGGCGGACGGGUGAGUAAUGCUUAGGAAUCUGCCAUUUAGUGGGGGACAACAUUCCGAAAGGAAUGCUAAUACCGCAUACGUCCUACGGGAGAAAGCAGGGGAUCUUCGGACCUUGCGCUAAAUGAUGAGCCUAAGUCGGAUUAGCUAGUUGGUGGGGUAAAGGCCUACCAAGGCGACGAUCUGUAGCGGGUCUGAGAGGAUGAUCCGCCACACUGGGACUGAGACACGGCCCAGACUCCUACGGGAGGCAGCAGUGGGGAAUAUUGGACAAUGGGCGGAAGCCUGAUCCAGCCAUGCCGCGUGUGUGAAGAAGGCCUUUUGGUUGUAAAGCACUUUAAGCGAGGAGGAGGCUACUAGUACUAAUACUACUGGAUAGUGGACGUUACUCGCAGAAUAAGCACCGGCUAACUCUGUGCCAGCCGCCGCGGUAACAC